rnacentral:rRNA from 1 species
CCCGGGCCUUGUACACACCGCCCGUCACACCAUGGGAGUGGGUUGCUCCAGAAGUAGCUAGUCUAACCCUCGGGAGGACGGUUACCACGGAGUGAUUCAUGACUGGGGUGAAGUCGUAACAAGGUAGCCGUAGGGGAACCUGCGGCUGGAUCACCUCCUUAA